rnacentral:rRNA from 1 species
GUGCUCCCCCGCCAAUUCCUUUAAGUUUCAACCUUGCGGUCGUACUUCCCAAGUGGCCCGCUUCACGGCUUCCCUACGGCACCACGGCAGUUCACGACUGCCGUGACACCUAGCGGGCAUCGUUUACGGCUAGGACUACCCGGGUAUCUAAUCCGGUUCGUGCCCCUAGCUUUCGUCCCUCACCGUCGGACCUGCUCUGGUAGGACGCCUUCGCCACCGGUGGUCCCCAGAGGAUUACAGGAUUUCACUCCUACCCCCUGAGUACCUCCUACCUCUCCCAGUCCCAAGCAAUGUAGUAUCCCGCAGACGCCCAACGGUUAAGCCGCUGGAUUUCCCACAAGACUUGCAAAGCCGGCUACGGACCCUUUAGACUCAAUAAUAUCGGCCACCACUCGAGCCGCCGGUAUUACCGCGGCGGCUGGCACCGGUCUUGCCCGGCCCUUGCUAACAGCCGUUUUUUAGACAGCUGGACAGACACCUAAUGUAGAUGCCACUCGAUGUUCCCCUAUCGCAGUUGCCUGCAUUGUAGAGUUUUCGCGCCUGCUGCGCCCCGUAGGGCCUGGAUUCGUGUCUCAGAAUCCAUCUCCGGGCUCUUGCUCCCACAACCCGUACUGAUAAUCGGCACGCCGGUACUUUACACCGGCGUCAACCUAAUCAGCCGCAGACCCAUCCAAAGGCGCCAGAGCUUUCAAUCAAAAAACCCUUCCAGUACUCUUGACCUAUCCGGUAUUAUCCCCAGUUUCCCGGAGUUAUCCCAGACCUUUGGGUAGGUUGUCCACGUGUUACUGAGCCGU